CCUACGGGCGGCAGCAGUGGGGAAUAUUGCACAAUGGGCGCAAGCCUGAUGCAGCCAUGCCGCGUGUGUGAAGAAGGCCUUAGGGUUGUAAAGCACUUUCAGCGAGGAGGAAGGCAUCACACUUAAUACGUGUGGUGAUUGACGUUACUCGCAGAACAAGCACCGGCUAACCCCGUGCCAGCAGCCGCGGUAAUACGGAGGGUGCAAGCGUUAAACGGAGUUACUGGGCGUAAAGCGCACGCAGGCGGUUUGUGAAGUCAGAUGUGAAAUCCCCGUGCUUAACGGGGGAACUGCACUUGAGAAUGGCAGGCUUGAGUCUUGUAGAGGUGGGUAGAAUUCCAGGUGUAGCGGUGAAAUGCGUAGAGAUCUGGAGGAAUACCGGUGGCGAAGGCGGCCCCCUGGACAAAGACUGACGCUCAGGUGCGAAAGCGUGGGAAGCAAACAGGAUUAGAUACCCCUGUAGUC
rnacentral:rRNA from 1 species